ensembl:lncRNA MIR100HG mir-100-let-7a-2-mir-125b-1 cluster host gene
GAGAGCUCUCAUUUUCCCCCCUUGCUCGGGAUGGUGCCACAGGAGGCUGUGCGGGCCCCGCUCCGCUUCGAAUGGUGGAUGCUGUGGGGCACCACCUCCUUGAGGACCAAGGCACUCCAGCUGCCAGGAAUUUGGCUGCUAACCUCACACAGCUGAGCCUUCCAUGAAAAUUGCUCUCUGCCAAAGAGAACUUCCUAGUCCAAGGUCAUGUCUACUCUCCAGAGAAAUGCACUGACCCUGCACUCUACAGGACACUAUGCUCAUUCCGAAUGCUAAGAUGUGACUGGAGUGAUUUGCACCCGGAUGCCUAGACUCGCCAUCUGCUCAAAGACUGCUCAGAAAGCCCUCCCAUGCAUUCCCCUGCUGCAUACCAGCCCACUCUGCCUGCAGCUGCUGUCUGCAGGACUUCAUAUCUAUGCCACACUGUGUAAAAGCUGUGCUUCAAGAAAUCACAAAAACAUUUUCCUGCACCUACUACACAGCCUGAGUGCGGCAUAAGUUGACCUUGCUUGCUAAGAAAUGGGGCAAGAAAUGCUUUUUUGUGUGUGUCAUGUCUGUUUGUUUUUCAAUUAAGAGAGGAAAGCAUUAGGCAGAUGGAAUGUACAUGUGAGGAUGAGGAGACAGAAAACAAGUAGCCCUUUCCAUCAAGAUAGAGGGUUUUCUGGGGUUGCUGGCUAUUGAAUGUCACUCCUGAUUUCUCUUUCCAAGGCACUGUACCACCAGCCUACUGAGAUUGUGUGGGAGCUUUCAUGGGGGUUGUAUUUCACUGAUGAAAAUAAAUUUUUUGCAUAAUGUGAA